rnacentral:rRNA from 1 species
AGUCGAGGGGCAGCAUUUACUUCGGUAAAUGGCGACCGGCGCACGGGUGAGUAACGCGUAUGCAACCUACCUUUAACUGGGGCAUAGCUCGAGGAAACUCGAAUUAAUUCCCCAUAGUACAUUAUAAUAUCUCAUGAUAUAAAUAUUAAAGAUUUAUCGGUUAAAGAUGGGCAUGCGUCUGAUUAGUUUGUUGGUAAGGUAACGGCUUACCAAGACUACGAUCAGUAGGGGGUCUGAGAGGAUGAUCCCCCACACUGGUACUGAGACACGGACCAGACAUCUACGGAUGGCAGCAGUAAGGAAUAUUGGGCAAUGGGCGCAAGCCUGACCCAGCCAUGCCGCGUGCAGGAUGACGACCCUAUGGGUUGUAAACUGCUUUUAUAUAGGAAGAAAAUACUCUUGCGAGAGGAUCUGACGGUACUAUAUGAAUAAGGACCGG